rnacentral:misc_RNA from 1 species
UGUGGGAGCUGGCUUGCCUGCGAUGCAUACAACUCGGUCCUUCAGAUAAAUCGAGGUGAUGCCAUCGCAGGCAAGCCAGCUCCCACA